GGGAGAAGGCAGGAGAAUGGGGUUGGGUGGGAGAGAUAGAUCAGCCAUGAUUGAAUGACGGAGUAGACUUGAUGGGCCAAAAUGGCCUAAUUCUACUCCUAUCACUUAUGAUCUUAUAAUCUUAUGGCCUAAAUUCCAUAUCCCUUGAUUCCCUUCGUCUGACUGAAUCUUUCACUGAGCAGCGGGAGAUCAUUGAUUGGGAGACUACUGCCAGUAGUCUUCCAUCAUACCGGUGAGGAGAGGUACAAGAAAAUAAGUCUAGCAUUUAAUAACUUACCGUCGGUCCUGUAUGAGGAGAAUUGAUGUUACAGGAUCCAGAGGAAGAACAUGUGAUCCCCCAAAAGUGAUUUCAUCCCCUCCUUCCUGAUCGCAGGAUAGCACACCUUUUCAAUCACCUGCAGUUAAUUCUGCCCCUUAAUUCAUGUGCACGGAUGGUCUCUGGGUGGUACAACUCUCCUGACUUCAUGUAGCGUGUCUCGGAACAAUGGAUGACUUUCACCUCACACUGCUGGUUGCUCUUCCAAAUCUGUGUCAGUUAAAGUCAGGGCCCAAAGUCGAGUUUCACUCCAGAAGCAUUUUGUUCUGUUUUCACUGCGCUUUUUUAGCCCAGUGAUCAAUUAGGAAGGGUAUUUAAAAGGCCUGCAUAUCAUCCAGACUUUUUAAUUGCAUUAAGAUGAAACAAGAGACAGAGUGCUGGGGUGUUAUACUGUCUGAGGUAUGCACAGAGGCCUUCCACUUUCAUUUAGUUGUCACGCAGUUAUAAAUAACAGAGGUGAACAUUAGGAAACAGGGAUAUAUUGAAGUUUAUAAAAGAUGUAAUUUAACGUCAAUCACAAGUAGAGUUAAAUUAUAUUGACUGAGCAAUUUGUAAACAUAUAUACACUGGAAGAAACUGCACUGCUCUAUAAAAAUAAAGAGGCAAAGCACUCAGCUUAGCCAUGACAGGAAUUGUUGGUACAUCAUUGUUUGCACACGGGCAAUGAAAUAUUCAAUCAUCAGGUGCUGACAUGGAGGAAUGGCAGUGGGUGCUGCAGUUUGCCAAAGAGAAAUAAACCAAAGAGUAACAUUAAACUGCACAAUUCCCAUGGUGUUUGGUUCUUAAUGAACAGUCAAGUUUGGAUUGGGGAUCUGGCUUCUACCAGCCACACUUGAGUGAGCCUCAACAUUAUAUAUUUAUUCAAGGAAAGAAAAAUCACUUGGAUCAAGGGCACUUGUCGCAGCCAAGACUCAAUAGCGGGUCACAAAUACUAUUGGAGUUUUUGCAUCCAGUGUAACUGUUGGUGUUCAGUAUCAUGUAAUAGAAGCAGGGGAAAUGUAAUGCAAAGAAUAUGUAAAGAAACUGAAAAAUAUAUAUCAAUCAACAGACCAGAUGCUCCACUUUGAUUAGCUCAGUCUGAUUUUAUUAACUGUCUUGAUUAAGUGUUUACAGCAGUGGAUCAAACGAACAUAACAAGAAUAUUUUUUAAUGAAGUAACUUUAUAGUUAGGCUGCUGUUUAAAGCUGAUGAUUUUCCUUCACGGGGCAGAAGCAUCACAGCACCCUUACAUUGCAAUUUUAAUAUUGGUCCUGUCCGAGUUUGAAUGUAGGACAAAGACAGGGCAAAGUUUUAAAAACCUUUAUAUAAUUUGAAACUAACUCUCGUUGCAAUUUUAAAGUGAUUUGCAUUCAUUCAAAUUGAUUAUCAAGCUAGCCAAUUUUUUAGGCAAUAAAAAAUGUCAUAUAGCUGCAUAUUUAUAUUUAGUUAUUUAAUCCCUGCCCUUCACAACAUAAUCUUCAGAUGGGGAAGGGGGAGCUCAGGUGAUGGAUGAGCCAUUAAGCAGUGAAGUCAGGGUUGGGGCUGCACUCAAUGAUGUGAAGGGUGGGAGAUAGUCAUGUCAAGGGUGGGAGGUAGUCAUGUCAAGCACUACUAUUGAGGGGGAGUGGGGUAUGGCAGAAGGAUCAGGAGAGUCAGUGUCAGGGAAGGGAGCUUGAUGUUAUGGGAACUGUCGGUCAGAUCAGGUUUAGUUUAGUUUAUUGUCACAGGUAACGUGAAAAUGUUUUGUUGCGUGCGAACCAGUCAGCGGAAAGACAAUACACGAUUACAAUCGAGCCAUUCACGGUGUACAGACACAUGAUAAGGGAAUUACGUUUAAUGCAAGAUAAAGCCGGUAAAGUCCACUCCAUUCAGGACUGCUCUCUACUUGUGGCAGGAUGCAGUUGUCUGAUAACAGCUGGGUAGAAUCUAGAGGUGUGCAUUUUCACACCUAUACAUUUUGCCCGAUGGGAGAGGGGAGGAGACCAGCAGGUAGGUUUUUGGCCUGAACAGAUUAAUGGUUUGAACAGGAAAUAAUGCAGGGUUAUAAACUUCAGUAGUACAGGGGUCACUGAGGAAAAUGGUUCAGGGGUAGGUAGGUGACUGGACUGAAAGUAAAAAAUAUUUAAAGGAGACUUAACGGAGAGGGGUUUCCCAGCCUCAGCUGAAACCUGCACAUAAUGUCCCCUUUAAGUAGAGCAAUAAUAGACCUCACAGUCAUGAUGGAAUGUUGUUUCCACAGGCAAGGUCGCAAAUUGAGCAGGUACUGCAGCUACAUAGUAAAUGAAGAUCUGGAUGUGAGACCCAGACAGAGGAAACCACAUCUGAAAGUAAACCUGAAAGGCAGUUAUCGGUAGUUGGAUAUUAGCAGUUUCUUACCUACAACCCUUUGGCAGGUUUGAACUCAUCACGCAGUACUAGUCAUGAUAUGGAAAAUGUACCAUGCCAUGGAAAAUAAUUUGGUUUAUUCCAACUACUUUGCACAUUUCAAUAACCCAAGGGAUGCCACAUAACUUUAACAGAAAAAAAGUUUUCCACUCUAGGUUAUUAUUAUUAAAAUUAUGAACAUGUUUCUUUAUGCCACAUUUAUGAUCUAACGGCAACAAAAGCAAGCAGAGGAAAUCAAAGUCAGAGCUAUUAAAAUAAUUUGGUGCAGUAUGUUGCCAUUUGACUUCAAAAUAGCAAUAAUAGCAUAUUAUAUUAAAGUCUGCCUGCCUCAGUGACUUGCUAUUUACCAAAGUUAUUUUUCUAUCUUCCUUGUUUUGACAUUGAUGCUAAUCAGCUUAAAAUAAGUAGGUUAAAUCUGGCUUUGGAAUAAUAUGGAGGGAAAAUAUACACCCAUGCGUUUUCAGGCAGUACCUCAGUAGAUUGUUUUCUUCUUCCACCUUAUUUUAUUUUAAAUGAAACAAGGGAACCUGUUGUUUUUUCAAUCUCUUUCCUCUUUUCUAUAAACUCAAUAUGCUGUUCUUGCAUCGUCUAAUCUUCGUAGAUACUUUAUUGGUGGUAAAGUGCUAUGAACAACACCCUGAAGCAGUGAAAAGUACCAUUUAAAUGCAAGGUCUAAAAUUUUGAUCAUCAACAUUUAUGUCCUUUUAUUUUAUUACCUAAAAUAAAAUCAUCCCUAGUU